rnacentral:lncRNA from 1 species
UGCAUAUAUAUAUAUAUAUAUAGAUAUAUGUAUAUGCACACACAAUACAGUAAGGACAGCAAGAAUGGAAUCCUAAGUUAAGAGCGUCUUAGUUAAAAAUUUAUAAUAUUAUUAAUUAUAUUAUUAUUAGUGUAUAAACCUUUCAUAAUAUGUGUGUGUGUGUGUGUAUAUAUAUAUAUAUAUAUAUCCGUGGUUGGCAUCACGGACAUUACCUUCUACACAUGGCGUCCGGCGAGCUGGCUAACUUCUUCUUCUUCUUCUUCUUCGACAAAGAAAGACCUUGCAAUUCUUUUGUCUUUUGUACUGGACAUUGACAGAGACACUGUAUGUUUUUAUAGAUAUAUAAUACAUAUAAGUGUAUGUCUGUGUGUACCCUAUCAGAAGUUUUUAAAUAGUCUUUCUUUUGGGUCAAGGUAAAAUAAGCUUACAUAUAUAUAUAUAUAUAUAUAUAUAUAUAUUUAUCUGGCUUAUUCUCAAGGACCCACUAUUAAUCUUCUUCUUAUUGUAUUUGAUUAUAUUUCAGAUUUUUCAACACCACCAGAAACAGAGAAAUGGCGUCUCU